rnacentral:rRNA from 1 species
GACGAACGCUGGCGGCGUGCCUAACACAUGCAAGUCGAGCGGAGCUAGUAGCAAUAUUAGUUUAGCGGCGGACGGGUGAGUAACGCGUGGGCAACCUGCCUACAGGGGGAUAACACAGGGAAACUUGUGCUAAUACCGCAUAACAUACUUAAGGGACAUCCCUUGGGUAUCAAAGGAGCAAUCCGGUAGAAGAUGGGCCCGCGUCCGAUUAGCUAGUUGGAGGUGUAACGGACCACCAAGGCGACGAUCGGUAGCCGAACUGAGAGGUUGAUCGGCCACAUUGGGACUGAGACACGGCCCAGACUCCUACGGGAGGCAGCAGUGGGGAAUAUUGCGCAAUGGGGGAAACCCUGACGCAGCAACGCCGCGUGAAGGAUGAAGGUCUUCGGAUUGUAAACUUCUUUAGUCGGGGACGAAGAAAUGACGGUACCCGAAGAAUAAGCCACGGCUAACUACGUGCCAGCAGCCGCCGUAA